CCACUGAGCUAUACUAUAUUACUGGAGGACCUGCUCGGGAUAAGAAAGUGUCCGCAAAAACAUGGCGGAUCUGACGCCAUUGCCAUGACUACUGGUCCCUAGAUUCAUGGCAACUACCACUGCCCCAACCGCGAUCCUAAGCUUUCGACAAUGUACUUCACCCCCCUGGUUUCAGCCCAAAAAUUUUGUUUUCGAGGUAUUAAAAAUCUCAUUGAAAAUCUUGAUAUUUUUAUCCCAGUUUGCUUGAUUUACAACGGACACUGCCUUUUUGCGCCGCUCGUAUGUAUGAGAACUCUUCAAACAAGAACUAGAAGAAUAUUUUUAUUCACCGGUAAGAUUUUUACGGAUUUUUAUAUAUGAAUAUUUCUAGAUUCUAGCUUGCUUGAUUAAACUCGAUAGAAAUACAAAUCCCUGUAGGAAAAAUGGUUGGGAAUUCUGUAAUUUUAUUGUUCUUGUGAUUUACCACUAGCCUCUGUGUUUUCAUAUGGUUUUAAAGGCUGCUUGUGGUGUUAAAAUCCUUACUGAGCACUUAUAUAUUGAUUUAGUACUACAGACUUCAGUGUUAUAGAGAUACGGUAUAUUAAAGCAAAUUUUCCCUGACAAACUUUGAGUGAUAUAUAUCCUUGCCAGGUUCUUGUAGCAGUUAUUUAUAAUUUCAUACUGUGUAGUUAUAUUAAAUGUCACUUCUACAACAGGCAAACUGAAAAAUUGCUUUGCUAGGCCAAAGAUAAUGUAUCAAGUUCAAACCAUUCAAAUGAUUCAAUACCCAUUGCAAUCAAGCAAUAACCAUAAACCUCUGAAUAUAUAAGCCCCAAUGACAGACCCCAAAUAUAAGCCCUCCUGUGUAGAACGGCCACCAUAAGAAAUUCUGAAUAUAAUUAAGCCCUCUCCCGAAUUUAAGUCCCUCAGUCUGUGUUAGCCAAUGGACUUAUUUUUGGACAGGUAUUUUUUAAUGCAGUAAAGGGAUCCAUUCCAACAGCUCAGCCAUCAAAAAUGCUGAUGAAUGCAUACAAGCAUUCAGAGGUUUACAUGGUACAUUCAUCUGACCAACAUAGUUUGUCAGAGUUCUAUAAAUCCCACAGCCAUUAGAGUUGUAGUUAAGUAUUUGUAGGAAUGAAGGGUGUGUACGUGCCAGCCAAUGCAUAUUCUCUCAAUCACUGCCCUUGGCAUUGACCGAAAUUGUGCCCUGACAAUUAACCAAUUAAAUUGAUGAUUGAUAACAUGUUUGAGAGCAUCUUCAGUGGGAGUGUUACUGUUCCCAGUAUUGGAGUAGAGCCCAACUGUUCAGUUAGACAUUAUUUAUGAACUUUCUCUCUUAGACCUGCAUACAUUAGAUUAUUUUGAUAUAUUCUAAUGUAAAAUGAAACUUUGGGAUAGUUAAGAAAUACAAUUAAUCCAUUUAUAAUGGACAAUUGUCAUCUUGACAAGUAAAAUUUCCUGGCAUAUUAGACGGGCUUAUAAAUGCCAGAACUUAUAUAUGUAAAAUUACUGAGUGAGUCAAUUUAUUUGACAUACCAUGAUAUUAAUUAACCAUUAGGUUGCAUUGUGCCCUAAUGCACCCUACUUUAUUAUUUUACUCUGUCUAACACCAGACAGUUGUGGACUGGAGAGCCAUGCAUUAACAUAUCAAUAAUGUCUAAGUGAACAGUUUAGGCUCUGCUCUACAGUAAAUUUCCCUGUAAUCGGAGUCUGGGAUCUGUGACCCAAUACAUCUUCAGUGUCUUCAUAUGAUACUGUCACUAUUUUAUAUGUAUAAUGGACAUUUCUCAUUCAGGGCGAAACUGAUGUAAGUCAUGUGGACAAGAAAUUAAUACAAGUUCUUUCAAAUGUGAAAAAAAAGAGUAGUGGUGCACUACCUCUUGCCAGACCUAACUGGCAGAACUAACAAUGACUUUUCUCUAUAAUUUUGUGGGAAUGUGUUAUAUUUACUCUGUACAAACAGCCAAAAAAUGAUGCAUGAGCUCUAGUUUUAAUAAUACUGUAUUAUAUAUUUUAAAAUUAUUCACUGCAUGGUCAAAGAAUAAUUAUGAAAUUAGCAAUUUUAAUUAAAAUAAAUAAUACACAAAAUCAAGCAAAUUUUUGUCUUUAAUUAAUUUUGAAACAUUACUGCAAUACAUGUUUCUUGGUAUGGAGUUUCACUAACAACAGGGGCAUGAACUCUAGCCUCCUCCACAGGUAUCUCACCCGAGGAAUCGAGUGAUGGGAACCCAUUUGCAGGCUAAAACGCAAACAGGAAGGGGAAAAUGGGCAUACGGGAAGGGAAAAAUUAGGGGGGCGGAAAGAAAUUUGCCCGACUUUUUCGGAUUGUGCCCGAGUUCCAAACUUUCCAAAAGUGUUGUCGAUUGGGG